rnacentral:lncRNA from 1 species
CACACAGCUCCAGCACGCAGGGCCUCUAGGAGGCUCCUGAUGUGUAGCAGUUAUGGAGACCUUGUUCAAAGUGUGAGAGAUAUGUGUCCCAUAUCUUCUUAAUGGUUUCCUGAAGACCUCUGAGUUGAAACAAGGUUUGGAAUGUCACUACUUCUCCGUGAGCGGAAUUCCAUAACCCACCAGCUCCCAGGAGAUGGUUUGAAUUCCACUGAAGAAGUGAAUUUUACCAGGCGCUGGGGAUAAAGCCAAAAAGAAGCAUUAGAAAUACGUACGUAAAAAAUGGGAGAGAAGAUGUUGCUCCUAACUUGAUAAUGCACAGAUGCUAGCACUGCUGUGUAAAAUUCAUGCAAGUCUUCCUUGGCAACUGCAGUGAAAUGAAACCUAAAGUGACAGCCUGAGACAAAGAGGAAAGCCAAAGCACGCUGUGCUGUGCAGGGCCUGGCUGAGUGGGUGACGUCGCUCAGAGAGCCACCAUUCGAGUGUCACAGCUGUCACCAUCCAUUCCCUGCACAUCAAAUCCAUUCUGCUUCUGUCUGGGGCAGGAGCUUGUUACCUCAGAAGCUGACGAGAACCAGAGAUUUUUUUUCAUAUUUCCUCUUUGCCUCAACUACGUGCUGUCAGUUAGGAAAUCCACAGCUCAGUAUUGACAUGUGUGAUUCCCAGUUUGACUUCUGCGCUGGAGUCCAACUGGAACUGUGCACCAGUGAAGGUCUGCUUCCCAUAAAGGGCCUCUCUGAAAUGGGGCACUCAAGAGACAAAGGCCUGUUCAUAUAUAAAAGGGGGAAGAGAAUACUGGAACAAAGAGGAAUUUCUACUAUUUCCUGCUUUGGUAUAUUCACAAAAAUCAGACCUUUUUAGUGAAUGAAUGCCAGUAACAGAUUAUAUAUCCUUAUGUUUAUUAAUUACCUUUCCUUUCUCAUUCAAGCUUUGAUAGCUGCUAUUCUCAAAUAGGUAACAGAUAAACAUAAUGAACUCUUCUGGAUGAAGGCUGAAAGUCACAGAGCUAUGAAAUAAUGCAAUUGAAAAUGGAGGAAGAGUGGUCCCAGUGCUGUCAUACCAGCAGUGAAUGCACAUCAGACAAUGCAAAAUGCUGUACGCUCAACAGAGACAUGGUCCAUAAUACAAGAGCAUAGGAAUUUCAUUUCCAUGCAGAGCUCAAUACAAUUAAAAAAGAAAAAAAAAGAAAAGAAAGAAAAAAGAAAGAAAAAAAAGAGCGGGAUUAUAUGAGUGGUAAUUUGGUGUUAUGGAUAUAUGGAUGAGGUAUUUUCUUAGAAGCCUUAAAAUGAUGAUGAUUGCAGUUUGGUCCAUGACCCGGGGGGGGACUUCCUGCUUCUGCUGGUGAGUUUGCUUGUUUGUUUGUUAUUGCGCACAUUGCUCUAGAGAAGUAGGACUUAGCAAGAAAAAUUAACCUAUUUUACUUUAUUUUUUACUUCUAUAGCGUUGCUAUUGCAAUUCCAUAGAGUUCCAUUAUUUUCUCAUGCAGAAGCACAUUAUAACUUUUAGUUUUCAUUGUUUCAGAUGAAUGUUUAUAUUUUAAAAAUGAUAAUAAUUAUGUUUUUCACUAAAGAAAGUUGUGGGACUUCUCAUUACAACCUCUAUAAAAUGUGAAGAUUUACUCUUCAGCAUGGAGAGAGAGAGAGAGGGGCAUCACAUGCCUCUCCUGCCUUCGUUCAGGGGAAAAGAAAACUUCAUUUUUUAUAUUUUAGGAUAGUCUAUUUUAAGAACUAGUCCAUAGAAGUCCAUGGAGUUUAAUGUCAUUUCUUCAACUGCAAUGCAAAGAGAAACUGAAACAUGAAAAAAAGCACGUGCUGAGAAAUAAUAUUCUGGCAGUGGAGUUCAUUUUCAACAAAAAACAAAUAAUACUGGUCCCCUCACAAAGACUUGUUAAAUAUUAACUAGCACCCAGAAGACAUAAGCAAUGACUCAGAUACACAGGAAAAAGCCCCCAAGGUUCCUGUUUUACUGGAGCAUUCCAGAACCUGCUGAAGUGAACCUCAGGAAGUCAGGCCAUGUCUGAAGGGCAGAGCAGCACAGUGGCCCAAUGUCCCCCAUGGCCAUCUUCUCCCUGUCUCCUCUUGCAAGUUUGGAGUGAACAACAGAAAGCAGUCGCUCCUCAGAGUGCUGUUUUUUCAGGGACUGACUGCAAGAUUUCAAGUUGUUGAUCAUACGGACUUGAUUGUGGAUGUGAGUUGCACCUUCCUGACUACAAACACUGAGCCAGGUUAAUGCCUGUACCUCUGGAGCCUUAGGAGCACAAAAAGUUCUGCUCUCCUGGAAGGGACUUCAAAGAAGAAAGGAAAAAAAACCAUCGGUUCAACAAUUUACAUAUUCCUCUCACGAAAGAAAAAUGGGGAGAAACAGUACAUAUGCUUACUACCCAGCUUCCUUCCUUGUGAGGAACCUCCUCUGACUGCCAUGACCUUUCUAAGGUAAUCAAGAGUGGCUUCACAAUGACACUGACCAGCUUCCUCAGUGCUCGUGGGGAUCUCAUCGGGUCACAUGGACUUGUGCACGCACAAUUUCUUUAAAUCUUCCCUGACAUGAUCCUCUUCUGUACAGGGAUCAAGUCCUGUCUGCCACAAUCUGAUCUUUCUUAAUCAUCCUUAUCACUCAUGGCUGCAAUAUUCUUUUAUCCUAUAUGAACUUCAGACUUUCAAAACAAACUCAAUGAGGCACAGAAAUGAACUAUGCUAUUCACCAAGUAAAAAGAUGGGUUGGAGAGAAGGAAUAUUCUUGUCUGCUCAUUUGGGAUCUAUGCCAGUAGUUUCAAGUUUCUGAAUGUUAUCAAUGACUUUUCUCCAAAGUUAGUUUUGCAAGCUGAUACAGUACUUCAAUAUUUCUAUUUUGCUUAAGUGAAAAUGAAAGAAAAUAAUGUAUUUAAACCUUGGUCACCAUGGAACUUGAAAAAGUGUUGUAAAUGUGUACUUCUAUAUGUGUUUCUCACUAAAAUUAAAGCCACAGACCCUUUAGUAGCAUUCCAUUUCUUUUCUUUUUUUUUUCUUUAUCAAAACAUUUUGUAUUUUGAGAGAGGAUACGGGAUAUGCAUAUCUUCCUUGCAUAACCUUUAAUGAGCUUUUAAACCAGCAGGGCUCUUUCAGAUACUGGCAAGCAAAAGCAGAAUUUGAGACCUUUCUACAGUUUUGAUUGAGAAGAUGAUGUUAUUUGUUCAUGGCUCCAUCAGAGCAAAAAUGGAAAAAGAAACCCAUACAUUUUAAGGAAAAAUAAACUGUCUGGGGAGGAGGAAGAAGUUAUAGUGUCUUGAACUAAAGGUUGAACAGAGCCUGGGAGCAGGACGCUCUCACCAUAUGCAGUAACUGUCUGUUCAGAUCUGGAAAAGACAAGUCCUGUACAUUCUUUGUGGGGAACUAGACAUAGGUGCUCGAUUCACUGAUUAUUAGCAGAGGCUAUUGAACAUACUUCUGACAGUGGCAACUUUAGAUCACUGCAAAGCAAGUGCAAAAAAUGUGUAUAUUAUUUUCAACUAAGUAAGGAAAAAUGACAAAUGAAUUUGUUUCUGUAAGAGAGUCUGUGAAAUUCCAAGAUACUCUUGCAUAUGAAAUCCACUUAAAUAAAGAGAAGAUACAUUUGAAGUAAAUGAUAAAGAGUGGGUUUUGUCCCUUUCCUUAGAUUUGUAGACCUGGUCAAACCCAAAUAAUGUCACACAUUUCUUUGUCUAACUUGGGUAAAGGUAUAUGAUUUGUACAUCCUGUAACCUAUACAGAGGGAAAAAAUAGAAAGAUGAUUCUUAAUAAUUCUGAUUCAUUCAAACUACCAUGUCAGAUCCUUAAGCAGUUGCUAGUGUGGACAGGGUCCAAAACAAGGAAUUCUGCAAAGUUCUCAUGAGUACCUAAAAUGGGGGAAAGGCAUUAACAGAUGGAGGAAAUGAGUCUGGAAUGAGUCUGGGAUAAAAGGAAGAGAAGAAAAAUAUGAUGGAAAUGUUAAAAGAAAGGGAAAAAAUAUGAUGGAAAAUUAUUUUGUUUAAAAGCUGGCAUUUGGUAUUUUCAAAGGGCAAAAUGUAUUUUUAUUUAUGACAAAUGAAUGUAAAAAUGUGCAUGCCUCAUGGCCUAGAGGACAAAACAGUGGGAUCAAUGCUCUUUUUGUACUCUAUGAAGCUUGAGAUUAAAGUCCCCACUGAUAAACUGAACAUUCUUUAAAAGUGACCAGAAGCAAACAGUGUCUGUUUGCUGCUACUUUAUUAGAAAGAUACCACUGAGAAUAGCUAAGAAUACUAUUUGAUCUUAAACAGGUUGACCAAAUUAUUACAGUUGGCUCCAGUACAUGAGAUGCUUUCUGCAAAUUAUUGUUUCUGGUUAUAAACCUUUAUAAUAUCUCUGAAUGAAUUAUGUAUGUAUUUCAUGUUUUCUUUUCUUUUAUCAGCCUUGAUGUUCUCAUUUCAAGUUUCACCCUAGCCUCCUAAUAAUGCAAUAUUGAGGCCAUUCAGACACUAAUUAUGCCUCCAUGGCUUUCUUGAAAUGACUAAAUCAGCAUCAGUUCUAUAAUUAUCAUUAGCAAGUUUGUAUCCGUGCCUCACAUCACAUGAAAAGCACAACUUUAAAUGAUUUAUGAAUAUAUGCAUCUGUAACAUCGAAUGUGCACUUUCUAACAGUAUGUGUACAAGAGGCGCAGAGACACUUUAGACAUAUGCACACUUGUAUAGAUGUUCUCAUCUUAUCUUCAUUUCACUCCAGUCUGUAUCUUACACAAACACAGCCUGAUUGUAUAAAGGCUAAUACUAUAUUGUUUUGUUGUUAGAGAGAUGUCUGCAUGAGAUAUGCCCAAAAUAUGUAUAUUGAAGCAUUCUGACCAGUUAGAAGUAUGGAACACGAACAAGUGUUCACCGAGUCAGUCUUUCAGACUUGAUGAUUUCCUAAUUUUCUUUAUGUUUUCACAAAAGCCUAGCAAGAAUAACUGACAGGACGGAAAGAAGUAUACAAAUGUAAUUCCUCUGUAUUUUCAUUGUUUCUCCCUUUGAAUUAUUGAUGUUGCCAGUAGUCAUUUGUCAAGAAAACAAAUCAAGAUACAUAUACUGUAGUCUUGCACUUCUGUAUGUUUGUAAACUGGUUGUUCUGCAUCAUGUUUAUAUUUUAAACAAAAUUGAAAAGAAAAAAAAAAGAGGAGUGAAUAAGAAAAGAAAAAUAAUUUCUGAUUUUUUUUUUUUUUUAAUAAUAAAGACAUGAAGAAUAAUGAGUACCCAGAACAAAAAUAGUACAGAAAGAGAGCUUGUAGAUAUCUUUGAGUCAAUUAUACCCCCACAGAAUCAUCUGCACACGUGGGAGUUGAGAAACAAAAAAAUGAAAGUAGAUGUAUGCAACACAGCAUCUUGUGUGGCGGUACGGCACCUCACAGCUCAGUUUGGUCUGUGGUAACAACCAAUUUCUGAAUGCCUCUCCUUCCUAUUCUCCUCCCUCCCAAUAUAGAUUCUUUGUUUUGCAUGGAAAGUUGUGCUGAUCACUGGUAUUUUAUGACCUACAUUAUUACCCUCUGGGUAGCAGAAUGAUAGUGCCAAACUAAUUAUUGCAUUGUCUAAUUUUAAAUCCAG